AUGUUGAACUUUCCGAGAAAAUGUUGUGGCAAAUAAGUUUAGGAAAAUUGGCUCAUUUUGUGGGAAAAUCGUAUGACAUUCGCACUGACGUAUUUAGUUUUAAAACGGAAACCGCAUGUUCAGUAAAACGGGGCAAUUACUAAAGUGGGCUUGACUUGUGAGGGAUAUUGAUACAUCAUAAUAUUUUUCCACGAUUCUGUUAAUUAAUCUUUCUCAUGGUUUCAGUGUAUGUGAUAGGUUUGGACGCACAAGACAAAAUAAUAUUUUCACAUUCAUGAAUCCGAACUACAAAUCGACCUCUUCAUCCUCCCUCGGAGGCCGCUCAAUUGAUAGGAAACCAAUGAUUCAGGGAAAAGUUCACUACGAUAAAGCUAUGGAUCAGGUCUACCAAGAGGAAGAGAGCCGCGAGCAGUGCGUUUUGCGGGCGAACCGAUCGCGGGGGAGUAGCAGACAUCAGGAGCUGAUCGAACUCCCGUCGACUUUCUAUCGAGCUCCACCGAGACCGCCUAAACGGGCCGAACUCUACGCCUGACCCGACGACGACCCUCAGACUUGUUAAAACUGCUCACUUUAACUUUAAGUUUUUUCAUUUUAAAUAUGACUAUUUUUUAUAGAAUUUUUCUACCAGGCUAGAUUAUUGUGUUUAGCAUCGGGUCUAGUCUCGAUUCGAGUUAGUACCUUGCCGCAAUUCUGCCGGGCUAAGGAAAAACGCCGUAUGAACAUUCGAGAGUGUCAAAUUUUCUCCGAUAUAAUGACCAUUUGGACGUAUUUCUAUCAAACGGAACUAAGCGCCAUAGGGGGAGAAAGGGAGAGGGGGGCUUGGAUUGGCGGCUAUACUCGUAAUGCUUUUCUAUGGCGCUUAUAGUUCUGUUUGACAGAACGCGCUAUCAGGGACUCUAAAAUCCUCAAAGGAACUCAAUUUGGCGCUUAGUUCUGUUUAACAGAAAUACGUCCAUUUUGAAAGGGAGUUGUGCAUAUACUUCCUUAAAAUUUUCAGAAAUUUAAGAUUAAACUGCGAACAAUAUUGUCCGAAAAAUUGGAAUAAAAAUAUUCAUAACUUUUCCAAUAAAUUCGUAUUUUAUCAAAAGAAUAACUUGGCAACGUCUGAUGGGACUUACGGCGUUCCUCCUUAGCACGGCAGAGUUGGCAUCUUGAGUCGAAUUUACGCGGGUGGAUUUGGCUCACAUUUUGGAACUGGGGGGGGGGGGGUUGCAGCCCCAAAAGACAUUAAUUUUAAGACUUGAUUAAAGUUGAAUCCUGUGUCACCUUGGUUUUAUUUGACUAAGGUUUUUCCCCCAUGCGCAACGCGGUAAUCAGUAGCUGGGGCUCAAUGUGACAAGUUGCGUAGAUUCAUACCUGAAUAAUAGACCUUAAACCUGACAAAUUAUAUUAGAGUAAUGCUAAGACUGUGAAAUUGUUUUCAUUUCACUUAAAAACGAUUUUGUGUACCUCAAACAUUUUCCUAAGAAAUAGUACAUCGAAAUCGGACCCCUUCUGCCAUUCUAUUCUUGAAUUUUUACCCCCAUUGAAGCUGAUCAACGCUAUCACUAAAUUUGAGUGAUUGCCCGACAGAGUUUAUUGUAAAAAUUGGUUUGAAAAUUCGAAUAGCGUGAGGUAAAGGAAAUGCAUUGCAAUGUUUACACAAGUCCCGAUAAUGGUGCGUUCUUAUCUCCUGGUGAGGUCCUUGAAGAAUCAUACUGUAAAAAAUACAAUUAUUUGAUAAUUAUUUCUGGAUCUAGGCAACUUGGCAUUUUUUUUUUUUUUUUUUUUUUUUUUUUUUUGUUACACGAAUAGUUUUAUUGAUUGAAAACUGGACGUAGACAAAAUUUUCAAGAAAAAUAAACAAAAAACACCGAAAAUUGUAGGUCACUAUAAUUGUCGGGAAUCGGAUGAUUAGACCAAUUUUUUCCAUAGCAGGAUUUUCAAGUUAUUGCUGAUGAUCCAUUCAGUAUGUUAUACGUAACCUGGUUUUGUUACCGAUUAGAUGUAACAUUGAAUCCUCAAAAAUGAGCGACACUUUUUUGAGCGAUUGGCUUCAUAUAUGUAUUUAUAAAUAUUUUCAGGGUAAAAAGUAGAGAAAAUAACCUUUUUCCCAUGGGUGUAUAGAUGAAAGGAUUUCCAUGGCUUUAUUUAUUGUAAACUAGCUGUAAAGUUAAUACAAUGCCAAUGGAGGUUAUCAAGGUUCCAGAGAGUAAGUGAACUUCUUGUGAUCCCGAGAAAAAUGCGCCUAAUGUUAAAUUACUAUACGGGAACUUACGACACGAAUAUACUUUUAAUCUCAAGUUCGAGCUCUGAAUGAUAGAGGGACAUCCAACGCUUUUUAUAAAAACAUUAAACUUAUUUUCCCACUAUAAUCUUCAUGCAAGGCAUUAAAUCUAGUAGCUUGUGUCACACUAUCAAAGCUAGCCAUCAAAAUAUCAAGAUCAGGUGUUGUGAUUGGCUUAUAUGAAAACUUAAACCAAUCACAGCACUUGACCUUUUAAUGACAUUUUAAUGGAGUAUUUUGAUAGUGUGACACAGGCUAGUGGCUUUUAAUUUCCCCUAUUAUAUUCGUCGCUCCACUGACGUAAGGGUGUAUAUCCUGUGUCACAAGAUCAAUAUACUCCAUCAAAUGUGAAGGUCAAGUGCUAUCAUUCGUUCAAGUCAUCGAAUAGGCCAAUCACAACACCUGACCUUGAUAUUUUGAUGGUUAGCUGUGACUCGGAAAUCGAGAUACGCCCUUACGGGCCUCAGAGGGACGAUGAAUUGUAUAUAACUUUUAUAACCAAGCCCUAGGAAGUAUACCACCUUCUCAAAUGGAAACUUCUCCGAAACAAAGAGCAAACAUGUAAUUAUGACAUAGGUGUGUUCACUGUUCAAAGAGGUUUUUAUAACUAAGAAAAAAACUGGUGUUAUUGUUUUAAUUUGCUCAAUUUUACCUGAUCAUUACUUUUUAUUAGGUUCUCGUUUAAUAGUUUGAAAGAAUUGCGUUGAUUUUCACUUUGCAUCGUAUAGGUGUAGCACUAUCCGUUAUUUCAUUGAGGUCUUCUCGCUGAAUAUAGUUAUCAGCGCGCGUUGACAGAUACUAAAAAUAGUUACAUUCGUUACUGACCUAUGUAAUUACCUGACUUAUGUUUCUUUAAAAGUACCUACUAGGGACUCGUUGCUGAAUUUGCAUACUAUAGGAAUAAAAAAUCUCUGACCUGUAAAAAUUCUUCCUAACAACUUGAUAAGAUUCUGACGCACAUUUGGCUGUGAAGGCUUUCCUUUCAGUGCAAGUUUAUCAAAGUACUUAUGUACAUAUUUUUUAUGAUACGUUUUUCCUGAUAACUAAUCCAUUGACAUCGGUAGAUGUAAUUUUGCAUUUAUUUUCGAUAAUUUUUUGUCACUAAAAAUUAAAAGAAUUUAUUUAUUUUUCAAAUGAUUUGAUGAUGAAUUAAUUUAUUUUGUUAAAGCUUAGAUUUUAUCAGUGGCUACCAUCACAAGCUUGAGGGGAAAACGGCAAAUUUUGAAAAAAACAAGAGUCACCAUGCACCUUAAAAGUUGACCAGUUCUAAUUAGUUUGGAAGUUGGCAUAUUCAAUUGAGAAUGUAAGGUAGUCACCCUGGGAAACUGUACACCUCCUUGACUCUUAUGCCUACAGUAAGACCUUAGGUACUAUCUGAGAUGGUGAAAAUAUUGAUUUGAAAAUGAAACGGCACAUUUGAAAACUGGUUUCACUCAAAGCUAAAAACAUACGUAUUUAUACACUUAAAGUUACUAUUUUACACGCCUUUAACAAUGUAAAAUGUCCACUCAUAUUCAUUAUACAAGCUUAUAAUUUUCAGUCUUGAGGAUUUUCUUAGCUCGGUCGUUUUUAAAUUUUUCGAAAUUUUCGGUCAACAAUGUUCGACAAAUUGACGACAAAAAAGAUAGAUGGAAGUUUUGAAACUUCACGAACCAUUCCCGUUAAAGUUAAUAUUUUCUUUCGUUGUGCUUUAGAUUUUUCACCCAAGUAUUUCAAUCCCUUGAAGAUACUACCUCCAGUAAUUCUCAAAAGCAUGUAUAUAUACAAUCUGCCGAGCAUAAUUAUCCUUUACACUAUACAAAUGAAUCACAAAAUCAACCCAUUGUUGCAUCUGUUACACUAAUGGGUUCAAAUAUGCAUUUCCGUUUGCCAAAAAUUUUCAAAGAACAAGUGGAUCGUACAUGUAUUAGCAAAAAGGAACCAGCGCAGUUACAGUGUUUUCAAAAUUGUGCAACUUCUCAUUUUCUUUUAAAAAUACUCGUUUUAUGUACAAUAUUAAAAUUUACACAAUUUUUUUUUCUUGAAAAUUAACCAUUUUUUGGUAGGAAGCCAAAACUAUUCGAUACUCUCGGAGAUUUUUUAGAUAAUUAUGAGGAAGCAACAUUUUUACAACACUGUGAUCGUCUUGGUUCCUUUUUGCUAAAUGCGAUCCAAGUGUUAAAUGAAUUAGUCUGAUGAUGUAAGAGAAAUUUUAGUCUUAACCUUUAAAACUUGAAACAAGGGAAUGCGUUAUGAAGAUGGUGAUGCCAACUCCUUGUCACGAGAAAAAAGUUAAUCAUAGUCACGAAGAUAAUUUUAACUAGAGACAGGGUUUAUUUUAUACAUUGCCUUUCCCGAUGGCAUGAAUAUAUAUAUAUAUUGCGAUAAUAAUGAUGACUGAGGAUGAAUUGAAAGGGCGAUUGCAUUUUUAUGGAAAUUAAUUAUUUAUACAUAUAUAACAAACCAAGAAGAUGGUGCUAUUUUUUUUUCUAUAGUAAAUUUAGACGGGCCCUCUUUCAUUAUUAUCUGAAAUUCGCUUUUGAUCAGGUAAUGUAAAUUUUGGUUCUCACGACCAUUAUACGUUAAUUUACUCACUCGUGAGUUUUUCUUCCUCUUUUCAUCAGAUAUAAAAGAAAAUGAAGAACAUUCUGAUGGCUGAAAAUUGACCACUCUGAAGGUACUCCCGAUCCCAGGUUUCUUGGAAAAACGAUUGUAAAGUUAACAAUUAUUUUAUUAUCAAAUGUGAUAUAUUCGUAAUAUUUCAAAUUAGACGAAGUGGAUUAUGUUGAAUUCUAUGUUUAAAUGUCCAUUAAUAUCUUCUAUUUAAUUAUAAAAAAACAAAAAACAAAAAAAUGGUUUCUCAUUUAUCUGAUAGGUUUUCUUCAACUGCAGCCCUGUACAAAUACAUGUUCAUUUGUUUCCUAAGUUUGUACUACUCCUUUUCUGGUCGAGUUAUUAUGCAUCAUGCAAUUAUGAAUAUGUUAUUUCAAAAAAAUACCAGACUGAGAGAAAAUACCAAAAAAAAGCGAAAAAUGAUGAAGUAAUUAAAGCAUACUGCUUUUCGAUUAUUCACAAAAAUUGCCCAUUCAUACUUUCAAACCAUCUUUGAAAGGUAAAUUGACAAAGGCACGCAACUGAGUUUUGAUUUUUGUCUCAGAAUUAUAACCAACUCAAUAGUUCAAAGAAGAGUCUUUCAAGAAUAAUUUAAAUUAGUAAAUGUAAGCC
rnacentral:lncRNA from 1 species